rfam:Gossypium raimondii Chr05_contig_1355, whole genome shotgun sequence.
UGUUAAAAAUGUUAUCUAUUUAUAUAGUUAAAAACUGGGGCAGCUGAUGGAAUAACCAAAUAGUAAGACGUGACAUGUCAUGUAUACCUCAUACUGAUAUAUAAAGAUCAGUUUUUAACAACAAAAUGGAUGGAAAUUUUAAUA